UUGAACGCUGGCGGCAGGCCUAACACAUGCAAGUCGAGCGGUAGCACAGAGAGCUUGCUCUCGGGUGACGAGCGGCGGACGGGUGAGUAAUGUCUGGGAAACUGCCUGAUGGAGGGGGAUAACUACUGGAAACGGUAGCUAAUACCGCAUAACGUCGCAAGACCAAAGUGGGGGACCUUCGGGCCUCAUGCCAUCAGAUGUGCCCAGAUGGGAUUAGCUAGUAGGUGGGGUAACGGCUCACCUAGGCGACGAUCCCUAGCUGGUCUGAGAGGAUGACCAGCCACACUGGAACUGAGACACGGUCCAGACUCCUACGGGAGGCAGCAGUGGGGAAUAUUGCACAAUGGGCGCAAGCCUGAUGCAGCCAUGCCGCGUGUGUGAAGAAGGCCUUCGGGUUGUAAAGCACUUUCAGCGGGGAGGAAGGCGAUAAGGUUAAUAACCUUGUCGAUUGACGUUACCCGCAGAAGAAGCACCGGCUAACUCCGUGCCAGCAGCCGCGGUAAUACGGAGGGUGCAAGCGUUAAUCGGAAUUACUGGGCGUAAAGCGCACGCAGGCGGUCUGUCAAGUCGGAUGUGAAAUCCCCGGGCUCAACCUGGGAACUGCAUUCGAAACUGGCAGGCUAGAGUCUUGUAGAGGGGGGUAGAAUUCCAGGUGUAGCGGUGAAAUGCGUAGAGAUCUGGAGGAAUACCGGUGGCGAAGGCGGCCCCCUGGACAAAGACUGACGCUCAGGUGCGAAAGCGUGGGGAGCAAACAGGAUUAGAUACCCUGGUAGUCCACGCCGUAAACGAUGUCGAUUUGGAGGUUGUGCCCUUGAGGCGUGGCUUCCGGAGCUAACGCGUUAAAUCGACCGCCUGGGGAGUAUGGCCGCAAGGUUAAAACUCAAAUGAAUUGACGGGGGCCCGCACAAGCGGUGGAGCAUGUGGUUUAAUUCGAUGCAACGCGAAGAACCUUACCUGGUCUUGACAUCCACAGAACUUUCCAGAGAUGGAUUGGUGCCUUCGGGAACUGUGAGACAGGUGCUGCAUGGCUGUCGUCAGCUCGUGUUGUGAAAUGUUGGGUUAAGUCCCGCAACGAGCGCAACCCUUAUCCUUUGUUGCCAGCGGUUAGGCCGGGAACUCAAAGGAGACUGCCAGUGAUAAACUGGAGGAAGGUGGGGAUGACGUCAAGUCAUCAUGGCCCUUACGACCAGGGCUACACACGUGCUACAAUGGCAUAUACAAAGAGAAGCGACCUCGCGAGAGCAAGCGGACCUCAUAAAGUAUGUCGUAGUCCGGAUUGGAGUCUGCAACUCGACUCCAUGAAGUCGGAAUCGCUAGUAAUCGUAGAUCAGAAUGCUACGGUGAAUACGUUCCCGGGCCUUGUACACACCGCCCGUCACACCAUGGGAGUGGGUUGCAAAAGAAGUAGGUAGCUUAACCUUCGGGAGGGCGCUUACCGCUUUGUGAUUCAUGACUGGGGUG
rnacentral:rRNA from 1 species